UUUACCCCGAAAUUACCCACAUGGCGUUAAUUAGGAGAUCUUUAACUAUAAGAGAACGCUAAGUAACCCUCAUUAACCCCGCUAAUUACUGCAGGAAAGAGGGAAAUGGGGGACCCUCGACUGCGUUCCUGGUUGAGUUAUUUUUAUAUUUUUGGUGGUUAUUUCUUUCCACAGGUGUCCACAGGUGUCCCAGGCGGUGAUAUUAAACCCAGAUGUCUGUUUUAUUUAUCUGUUAUCUCCAUGAUGUCUUAUUCUCAGCCAUAAUUGAGUUACAAGCAAAAUAGACAUGGUUUCCUGAAUGGCUACGCGAGUUUUUUUCAUAUUUUUCUUGAUUAUUUCCCUUCCACAGGUGUCCACAGGUGUCCCAGGCGGUGAUAUUAAACCCAGAUGUCUGUUUUAUUUAUCUGUUAUCUCCAUGAUGUCUUAUUCUCAGCCAUAAUUGAGUUACAAGCAAAAUAGACAUGGUUUCGUGAAUGGGUACGGGAGUUUUUUUUCAUAUUUUUCUUGAUUAUUUCCCUUCCACAGGUGUCCACAGGUGUCCCAGGCGGUGAGGUUAUGCCCAGGUGUCCAUAUUACCUAUCUGCUACUUUGUUAUGUCUUACUAGUAGCCAUAUUUGAGUUAUAAGCUUAAUAAGACAUGGUGACGGGAAUGACUACAUGUGUUCAGGUAUUUUGUAGGUUAAUUAAUCCCUCAUCCAGGUGUUUCAGGUGUGAUUUUAAGCCCAGGUGUCAUUAAUUAGUGUACCCUUGACAAGUUAUACCCCCUACAACCACUACAACCACUACAACAUAUACUUCUGGCAGUGAAGAUUGGAUAUAUCACUGCCCGGAGACCUGUUUUCCUAGUGGCCCUGUGCCGCGGUUAAUGGCCCCUGGUGGCCCUCACAUGACCUCACCAGAGAAGAAAGGGCAAGGAUGGAAAGUAUAAGAGGACGAAGAUGAAGAAGA